UUCCCAUCUAUCCAGCCAUCCAUCAACCUAUAUCUCCACCUACCUACCUGCCAGUCAUCCAUCCUUCUAUCCAUCCCUGAAUUCUUAGCAGCCUACUUUGAAAAGAGGCUGACCGGAAUGGGCCUUGGAAAGGCUUCUGGUCCAGUGCCCUAUGCCCCAGAUGAGAGGACUGAGGCCCAGACCAGGAAGCGAAUUGUCUAAGACUCUUCCAAGGUCCCCACCCAGUGAGUUAGUGGCAAAGCUGGAAAGGCCAGGUCCCGCAUUUCCAGCUGGUGCUGCUAUUCUAUAUUUCUAUACCCGUGCUCCUGUCCUACCUGGAUGCAUCUUUGUAUGUGGGCUUAACAACAUUGUUGUGGGUCCAUGGAGAUGGCGAGUAUGUUCUGAGCU
rnacentral:lncRNA from 1 species